CCAAAGUGCUGGGAUUACAGGUGUGAGCCACCGUGCCCUGCUGUAAGUUGCUUUUAAGUGGCAAAUCCAUUCUAGCAUUCCUAUAUCCUUAGGCCUAUGAAUUCCUUCAUCCAACAUAAUACAGGGAAGAUGGGGGAAUCACCAGCCUCCUUAUGGUCAUACUUCUGUUGAACUAUAUUUCAGCCAACCAGUCAUAAAACUGCUAAUACCAUCCUUAAAUACCCAAGUUGCAACAUUAAACCAGAAUAUCUGCUUAAUGGCCCUGUACCAUUAAAUUUGGACCGAUUCAAGUUUAUUUUCAUUCUCCUGUUAUCCACACUUUUUUUUUUUCUUUUUUAGGUUUCUUACAGAUGAGGUCUUGUUCUGUCGGCCAGGCUGGAGUGCAGUGGUACAGUCAUCACUCACUGCAGCUUCAAACACCUGGGUUCCAGCAUUCAUCCCAGCUCAGCUUCCGGUGUAGCCGGGACUACAGGUAUGAAAUAAUUUCCUAGUGAAGUCAUCUUAACAUGGAACCGAAAUUAAAUCCUAACAACAAUCAUGUGAGCCUGGGGAGGAUCCUUCCCCAGCUCAGCCUUCAGGGGAGACUUCAGCCUUGGCCGCCAUCUACAUCUAGAUUCCUGACCAAGAGAAACUGUGAGUAAUGUGUAUGUGCUUUUCAGCCACUAAGCUAUGUGGGAAUUUGUUAUACAACAAUAACUAAGUAAUACACCUGGCAUUAAAUGUAAUGUGAUAUCCUAGAUUAGAUACUGGAGCAUAAAAGUGACAUUAUUGGAAACCUGAAGAAAACUAUGAAGAAAGUCUGUAGUUCCAUUGAUAAUUUUAUAUCACUGUCAAUUUCUCAGUUUUCAUGAAUAGGCUAUGGUUAUAUAAUGUGUAAACAUUCCUUUUAGCUGAAAGGUAUAUGAAACUCUCUGCACUAUAUAUACAUCCUUCUGUAAGUCAAAUAUGAUUUCAAAAUAAUUUUAAAAUAAUAUUUUGGUGCAAAGCAGAAAACAACAAAAAGACGCAAGCACAUUAGCUCGGUUUCAGGAGAUGGGGUGGGCAAGUGGGGAAAGAAUAGCAGCGCAGCUUUCCUUAUUUAGCCACCAUUCCGAACCCAGGUGCACCUGCUUCAGUUACACACAGUUAGCUCCAGGGACUCUCAUCCAUUUUUGUCUUUGAAAUCAUGCUCUCAUUAUCCAGCAACAUUUUAAGUGUCAGUAACCACUUCUUCAGAGAGAGGUGCCUGUUCCUCAUAUAUCCCAGGAUGCCCCAUUUUCAGACAUUGUCUGGCAGUUUAUCCACCUAAUUCCACCAAAGCCUUUCUGGAAAAAAUGACUGCUGCACAUUAGAAGCCGAUAUUGCAAAAUGUUAGUGACAGGGAACACAAAUUGUAUUUUUACAAUCAGGAGAGUGUUUUAUUUCCCUUGGUACAGGGAUUUGUUCUUCAAGUGAUUAUUGAAUCACUGUGAUAAUUUCUAUUUUUCUCGUCAAGAAUUAUUUGGAACUGUAUAUUCUGUUGCUAUUCACAUCUUGGAAUUAUAUUGUUCAUUUCCAAGGUCAAAAGCCACAGAAUAAAUGUCAUCAUGGCAGCAGGUGAGUAGGACACACAAAGAAUGCUUCUAAAUAUGGUGGUUUAUGACAAUGCUUGCUAACUAAGACCUGGAUAUGAAUCUGUAGACAACUGGUUUUUGGCAGGUGAAGUCAUGUGAGUGAUUCAGUAUAUGCUGUGUGUGGCUGGAGAAAGCUCAGUAGAUAAAAGAAAAAGCAGUAUGUAACAGAUCUCCCCCUACCAUACAGUGAUCUAAGAGGUGGACCCAGGCUACAUGGUGACUCUGCACAUGUUAUAGCUAAACAAAGAAUCUCACAGCAGGAAGAACUGUCCAGCUAUCCCCCACAUAGGUCCCUGUUCAUAUUUUACAGCACUCUGCCGUGUUAACACCAGGGUUGUGCCAAAGAACCAUGCCUCCAAAGCCUACCAAGUCGGGAGUCUGCAUGCUAUACUCACAGACAUAGACAAAGCCUUUAUGAUGGCCCAUAAACAUGGGGUAUAUUCUCUAUAGCACGUUGAUAGUUUAUAUGAGAAAAUGAGAUCUUGCAGCCUGGAGACCUAGAGUUAGAGAUAUGACUGACCUCGACCACAUUUUUCACUUCUGAUAUCAGCAUAGCAGUGAUUUACGUGCUGUUAUUUGAGCAUCUGUACUUUAAGAAACCUUCCAAGUCUUCCAAGUUCCAUGUAGUUUACUCUUUAAGACCCGACUCCUCUUUUAAAUUUGACAUCUUAAAGGAGGCUUAUUCCAUUUUUUAAAAUUUUAACUGAAGAUAUUGUAGUACAAUACUUAAAUGACAGAUCUCCUUUUUAUCUUUAUUUUAAUGCAUACUUUUUGAUAUAUUAUGAUGCGUACUGUGAAUAUUCUGCCCACCAAUAAAUGGACCCAAAAAUGGCCGGAGUGACAGACAUGAGCCACGGUUAGACCUGGACAUGAGUUAUGAGGACUACUGCAUGGUGGUCACAAUAAUUGAGCUCUGAGUUCUCAAGUUUAAAGGAAAACAGGCAAUAUACACAAAACUGUACUGCCACAUUGUCACGGACGCAAAGGACAGAGUGCUGAGCACUGAGUGCCCAAACAAGUGCUUUAAUAGCAUGGAAGGCAUGAUUUCCCACAAUAUACUAAGCCACUAAAUUCACAAAGGCCACCACAAUUCUAAAAAAAGAUGUCAUUGCAAAGAAACCCAAGUGUUAGAUAGCAAUAUAAGACAAAUGCUCCAACAUACUGUCUCCACACUCUAGCCUGAUUAGGAGUUGUAGUUCAAUGGAUGAAUGGCUCAUAUAUUUAACAUCAUUACUUCAUGUUCAUGCAAUUCAACCUUGCAGGAGUCUAAAACUAUAGGUGAAAUUUCAGUCAAAGUCCUAAAUUAUGAAUUGUAUGAGUUUCUUCUUCACUUAGUAUUUUCCCAAGGAAAUAGGAAAACUAAUUUCAUUAUCCAAGUGACCAAAAGCAGAGUUUGCCAGAGUGGCAAGGGGGCGGAACGAAGCAUUUUAUGAGGAUCACAAUGCAUCUGCUUCUACGGUGACUAUGUGUUAUCACCAUUUAUGUGAUUAAAAGGGUGAAUGAGAAUGAAGAAGAACAGAGGUCAAGAAUGUUAUAGAUUAAAGAAUCGAAUUUGUAAUACAGCUUGCAGGGGGGAUCAUUGCUUGUAUUUCUAAUUUUAGGACAAAUUUUUUAAAUAUAGAUUUUCCUUAGUCUUUAGAAAACUGACGCUUCAGGAAAAAUUUCAGGUGUCUCUCUACAAUUUAUAUGUUCCUCAUCAAUAGAUUUAUUGAACCAUAGUUUAUAAAACAAUUACAGCACUUCACUAAGUCUAAUAUCUCUGAUAAUGAGGUAGAAUGUAGAUAGAGUUGGUAAAUUAAUGUAAAAAUAUAUACAAGGAUGUUUACUUAAUAACUGACUAAAAUAUAGCAGAUUAGCCACCAUGAUUUUUUUUUUUUUUUGAGAUGGAGUUCACUGUUUCGCCCUGGCUGGAGUGAAGUGGUGCAAUCUCGGCUCACUGCAACCUCCACCCCCAGGGUUCAAGUGAUUCUCCUGCCUCAGCCACCAUGAUUUAACACUGAUAAGUGAGCAGUCACAGAGGAAACGUGUGUAAACAAUUAUUUGGUACACAUUUUAACAUCUUUUAAAGAGAGAUACAUCUUCUAUUUGAAAGGGUUAUAAUUAUAACAUUAUUGCCAGAAAGCAGUCAUGAUAUGGUUGUCCCUUGGGCACACGUGGUCUAAACCUCCCCAAAGACAUCUUUGGGUAAUUACAUCAAGCAUCAAAACUUACAGAGGGGGUGUCAGGAGACUGGAAAGAUAAACUUACAUAGAGUAGCACAGGAGUCCCAUGAGAAAUGCAGCACUAUCGAUGCUUGUGAUUAGCACAGAUGAUGAUAUUGUGGGGAAAAUCAUGGACAAGAUGAGUUGAAAGUGAUUCAGAGAGUUUGUUCUCAAUGAAAUAAGUGUUAGGAAUACCUUUGUAAAUGUAUUUUGCAUAUUUGUUCUGUCUCGUGUAAUCAUAAGAAUGAUAUAAGACAAAUAUAAAUGUAUUAGUCGAGAAAAGUUUUUAAAAUAAUUACAAAACUGUCAUUAGAAAUAUUUGCUCCAUUAUUUAUUAACAGUUUUAUUAUUUCAUUCUGAUAUAUAAAUCUAAAAGAUAAAUCUCACUAUUAUAAAAAUUAGUCUUAAUGAUAUGUAUAGACCUGAUAUUACACUCCAUGCUUUAUAUAUUAUUUUAUACAAACCCACCUGACAUCUCAAGAGAUGAGCACUGCUACCACUGCCACGGGGCAGUUCUGAAUCUGACCCUAAGCACUACAUGAAAGAAUUAAAAGAGCUUUGAGUUUGACUCAGUCUGUCUCCAAAGUCGUUGCUCAUAUCAACUAUGUAGAAUCUGUAGAAUAUUUUCUUAUAUGAUAAGUGCUUUCUAGGUCUAGUUUCAGGUAUCUUACCCUACCACAUAGUCCCAAAGAUAUUUUCUUAUAUGUUCUACAUACUGUACUAAUAUUGGUUUCAGGAGAUGGGGUGGGCAAGUAGGGAAAGAACAGUAGCACAGCUUUCCUUAUUUAGCCACCAUUCUGAACCCAGGUGCACCUGCUUCAGUUAAACACACUGAUCCACCUGAUUUUGUAUGUAAAAUGAAGUUAAAGGUCAGAUUUUAAUUCCCUUGUGAAUAUUCAGGUUUUUUUGAAUAGUUUUAGAAAAACUGAUCUGUCCCCAUUUAUUGACUUACAAAUGAUUUGUUCACAUAUACACGUCUGUAUUUCUGUUUUCUUUUUUCAUUGCCUUAUUCCUCUGUCUCUGCAAAUGCAACACGUUCUUAGUUGCUAACAGACUUCAUAUAAUACAAUAAUUUUGUGACUAUUCUCAAUGACUGUGCUUUUCCAUAACGAAGUGAAAGAAGAUUAAAAAUCUUCCUACCUUUCACCUAAACACCAGUACUCUCAGCUGGACUUAGAAUGAAUCAGUGGCUUUAGAGUUUUAGAAUAUCAUUGUUGUCUUUUAUGUCUGUAAUGUCUUUGUUAAUUUCCUAAGAUCCCUGAACACCCCCCUUCAGUUUAUGUCUUUCAUACCUUCAACAACAGCAAGUGGUGGGAAAACCUGGAGAGGCAGCCCCAGGUGCCUCCUGCCUUGCUCUAGAUGAUGCUGUGGACAUGGGUCUCCUCCUCCAGACCAUGCACAUGAAAGACAGGACCAGCAGGGAGCCUCUGAGCUCCGAACCUCUUGUGGGGUCUGCAUGCACAAGCGGAGGAGCUCCCUGUUGGCUCGGGUGGGGAAUUCAGUUAUUUUGUAUAAGCAUGAAUUUGUUAAAUAAUCGUUCUUUUUUCUGACCAAUGGCACAUUUCCCCUUCAGUCCUGGCACUGUAAUUUUAUAUCUUGGUUUUUGGUUUUGUCUACAAAUGUGUUUAACACUUGUUAAACACAACGAAAACACUCUUUUCUUGGUCACAUAGCCAUCAUCUACAACCAAAUUUAUACUUCUCUAUUUUUACAAAACGAACAUCCCUGGGUGCUUCCUGCAUACAACUCCCUAGACAAGGUUUAUCUCCUCCAGACCACGCCUAUCCAAGACAGUGCCUAAGUAGAGGCAGGAGUUGAGCCUGCCUCUGUGGUGUCUUCGUGUGAAACACCAACUCUUGCUCUACGUCUGGUGUUGGUUGGGGAAUUCGGUUAUUGGAAAGACUGAGUGUGUCAAAGAAUCAUUCUGUUUACUGCCUGAAAACAAAUGACACAGUGUUUUGACCCAAUGAAACAGUGUUUGUUUUGGUAUAUAAAGGCCUUUGACACUUUC